rnacentral:lncRNA from 1 species
CCCUCUGAAUGUAAGUGGAUGCCGUCCAGGUUCAAAAAGAUCAAACAGACUUAGUGACUAGUAGCUUCCUUGUGCGACCACUCGCUAUUAUGGGCUCUCGCUUAGUUGAUUAGUUAUGGAAACCUUACCCGGAUGUGCCAGCUUAUGUAGCUAUGAUAGGUGGGAUGGGCCUCCAGUGGGACUAGGUGACUGCUUCUGAAAGACUUCGUCUCAAUCUUUGGGUUGGGUCCAGUGGGUACAGCGUACUAACCUCUGCAGAGUGUAUAAA